CUCGAUGCUCCGCCGCUCGCGGCUGGGGGGUCCGGGGCCGCGUCUCCUCUCCUCCCUCCGCCUCUCCUCUUUCCUCCUUCCUGCUGCCUCUUCUUUUAAAGCGGAUUCUUUGGCCACAAAUAGCAACUCGGCUGCCCCCCUCGGUGCCUCCCUCCCCUUCUCUUCUUCCCCCCAAAAGUGAAGCGCACGCGAGGUAAAGAAACGAAGACCCUGAGAAUUUAAAAUCAUCCAACUAUUUGGUGCCAGAAGCAGGACAAGAACUCAGACAUCAUGAUCCAGUGCCCUCCAUCCCACCAGCUAUUCAUCAUCACCUCCACAUUCUGGAUCAAAGAAGCCAGUUUUCCAACUUAUCAAUGAGCAAUACAUAUAGAAUAUUUUUAAAACUCCAAAUACUUUUAUGAAGGAAAAAUGAAGCAAUAGGACAAGACAUUUUCUUCGUUUCCUUCCAGCUCUAACAUUCUGUGAUAAAUAGCACACAGGAGCUUUGCUAUAGCACUACCCCCUCUAGUGCAUAAUUCAGCAUACGAUGAGUAUGAGUCUGUUUUGGACCCCAUCCAAAGGAGUUAGUUCCUAGAAGUACUUGGAAGAUUUAUUCUCAUUUAUCAUGAGGCAUCCUAACAGGAGACUAAAAAUAAUCACGAUGACAAUAAUAGUAAUCAGUUGUUACACUUGUAUUAUGUACUAAGCAUCGUGCUAAGCAUGUUAAAGUUCACCUGUUUUUGAAAAGGCACUUCAUGACCUUAUGUGGGUUGCGAAUCUAGUGGGUCAUAAACAAUUUCUGAAAUGAAAGAAAAGUAGGAAAAAACACAGAGUGCAUUAUACAUACUAAGUUGUUUUAUUUUUUAUUUUUUUAUUUUUUUUGCAAAACUUCCUUUUUGAUCAUGUGGCUAGUGAUUAAAAGUUUGGAAGCACUGCCUCGUUUCCAAUCUUAACUGCCUUGCUAGUUAAGUAUUAUUAGCCCCAUUAUAUAAGUGAGGAAACAGGACGAGAGAGGAUAAGUAAUUUGGCCAAGCUGACACAGUGAGUGGCCAAGCUAGAAUUUUGAACCUAGAUCUGUUUGACUUCAAAUCCAAUAUUUUCACUUCUAUAGUGAUGAUAAAUUAUUGACCAAGGUAUGGAAUAAAUUGUUGCUAAUCAUGUUUUCUUUGUGAGGACUACUGGGGUUUUUAUUAAAUCCAGCUAAAUGGAGAAACACAGCAUAGAUUCAAGUGACAUGUUCGGAAGAGAGUGAGGAAUUUCAUAAAACACUAAAUCUAAUAUCUAAGACCUUUUCCUGUAGGUGUUAGCUUAUGUCUAAUACACUUUAUUGACUUACUGCUAAAUACAUAAAUGAAACAAUAAUAGUUUCAGUCCUCAAAUAACAAUAUUCACUUCUACGUGUGUUUCUAUUUUUAUUUCAGAGAGUAUUUUUCAAAUUUAAGUUAUACAGCAUUUCUCAGUAGCUUGCUUUGGCCAAACACAGAACUAGCACAUAAGAAAGCUAAAAGGCCAGGCACUGUGGCUCACACCUGUAAUCCCAGCACUUUUGGAGGCCAAGGCAGGCAGAUCACUUGAGGUCAGGAGUUUGAAAUCAGCCUGGCCAACAUGGUGAAACCCGUCUCUACUAAAAAUACAAAAAUUAUCUGGGCGUGGUGGCACGUGUCUGUAAUCCCAGCUACUCGGGAGGC
rnacentral:lncRNA from 1 species